CUGUCCCCUUGCCCGUCCGUGUGUCCGUCCCCUUGGCCGGCUGUCCGUGCGUCCGGCCGGCCGCUCCCCCCCCCGGUCCAGGCGUCCGUCUCUUGUCAGCCUGGCCAGGUGUGUCCGGUUGUCCGGCCGCCCAUCCGAGUGCCUGCUUGUCCGUCCAUCUGUCCGUCCCGUUUUCCAUCUGGCUGGGCGAUGGGGUGUCCGUCUGUCCGGGUGUCUGUCUGUCUGGGUGCCCAGUUGCCUGUCCAUCCACCCAGGUGUCCGUCUGUCCGUCCAAGUGUCCCAUUGCCUGUCUGUCCACCCGGGUGUCCGUCUGUCCGUCCAAGUGUCCCGUUGCCUGUCUGUCCACCCGGGUGUCUGUCUGUCCAGGCAUCCAGCCGUCCAGGUGUCCAGUUGCCUGUCCAUCCACCCAGGUGUCCAUCUGUCCAUGUGUCUGUCCGUCCAGGUGUCCGGUUGCCUGUCCAUCCACCCAGGUGUCUGUCUGUCCGUGUGUCCAUUUGUCCAGGUGUCCGGUUGCCUAUCCGUCUGUGUGUCUGUCCGUGUGUCUGUCCGUCCAGGUAUCUGCUUGCCUGUCCAUCCACCGAGGUAUCCGUCUGUCCGUGUGUCCAUCCAUCCAAAUGUCCGGUUGCCUGUCCAUCCGCCCAGGUGUCUGUCUGUCUGGAUGUCUGUCCAGCCGUCUGUCCAGGUGCCCGCCCGGUCUUCCGUCUGUCCGUCCCCCUGCCUGCCCAGCUGUCCCUCUGCCCGUCCCUCUGGGGGCCCAGGUGUCCAUCUGUCCUGCCGUGCAUCCCGGGCAUCCGUCUGUCUGCCUGGGGCCUGUCCCUUGUGUGUGUCCAUCCGUCUGUCUGUCUGUCCGUCCCCCCUCCUUCCAGGUGUCUGUCCAUCCGUCUGUCUGUCCGGUUGUCCAUCCAUCCCCCCUCCUUCCGGGUGUCCAUCCGUCCAUCUGUCUGUCUGCGUGUCCCUGAGAUCCAGGGGGUGUCCACGUCCGCAAGAUGGGGAUGGACGGACGGACGGACGGACAUCAGGCCUCAACCCCAUCCCCCCGCCUCAGUUUCCCCAUCCCAAAAGGACCAAUCUCCCCCCGACCCGGGGGGUCGUCCCCUCCCCUGGGACCCCCCACCCCCCACCCCAAAUACUCUCGGGUGCUGGAAAGUCCCCAAAUCCCAACUUCCCCUUCACCGGUGGGGGGGUGCUUGUGUACGGGGGGGGGGAACGCGGGCUGGGGACAUCUGGGUCCCACUGACACCCCCUUUCCCCUCCCGCGCAGGUUGCAACGGCCGCCCACCUGCUGCUGAGCACCGGCUCGCUGGCGGUGUCCUCCAGACCCAUGUGGCGCUACGAGGAAGGCAUCAGCGGAGUCUUCCUCAGCAGCGACGUGGAGGCGACGGCCGCGGGGCUGCGGGUGGCGGCGGGGGGGCUCUAUCUCCUCUACGGCCAGUUCGCCCUUGCCUGCACGGCGGAAAAUUGCCCCCCCGGCAACGUCACCCUCCAGCUCCGCCGCGCCGGCUCAGCGCCCCCGCUGCUCUCCGUGCCGCUGGCGUUGCCCAGCGGCACUGA
ensembl:lncRNA